rnacentral:tmRNA from 1 species
GGGGGUGACUGGUUUCGACAGGGACUGCAGAGGCAGGAAUAGCAUUUCGGGCAGAUUACCUAUCCCGUUAAACUUGGUGAUGCUAAAUUGAAAUGCAGAUGAAAAUCUUGCACUAGCUGCAUAACUAAUGUAGCUCAUCUGUCAAGUCGGUGCCAUUGACGAUUUUUCAGAUGCCGUUUUCAAUGGCUUAGAUGCUGCUAUGUCUAUGUGCAGUGUUGAAGUUUAAUAGACUUGAUCUCUGAGAGACUUGUACAUUGUUCUUGAUGAGAUGACCAAAUUACGAUGUACUAAGAAUGUAGAAUUUCCUGCAGCUAAAUCUCUGGACGCGGGUUCGACUCCCGCCACCUCCACCA